GUAGGGUGCGAGCGUUGUCCGGAAUUAUUGGGCGUAAAGAGCUCGUAGGCGGCCUGUCGCGUCGGAUGUGAAAGCCCGGGGCUUAACCCCGGGUCGGCAUUCGAUACGGGCAGGCUAGAGUGUGGUAGGGGAGAUCGGAAUUCCUGGUGUAGCGGUGAAAUGCGCAGAUAUCAGGAGGAACACCGGUGGCGAAGGCGGAUCUCUGGGCCAUUACUGACGCUGAGGAGCGAAAGCGUGGGGAGCGAACAGGAUUAGAUACCCUGGUAGUCCACGCCGUAAACGUUGGGAACUAGGUGUUGGCGACAUUCCACGUCGUCGGUGCCGCAGCUAACGCAUUAAGUUCCCCGCCUGGGGAGUACGGCCGCAAGGCUAAA
rnacentral:rRNA from 1 species